ACGCGGGCGGCCUACUGUCGGGUGUGGCCGCGAGGGGCGGCCUAUAUAAGCUCUUGCUCGCGGCUUCAGCGCCCUUUCUCCCCGCCGCAUUCCCGGUGUCGACUUACUAGCUGCAAGCCUCUGCCUGCCUUCCUGCGCGCCGUUCCCCGCUAGUCGCUGCUGCUGGCGCGCACUCGCCGGGUUUUUCCUCCCACGGCCUCGAGAUGGUGGUGAAUGUGGCACGGAGGAGCCGGGCCUUCCAACCCGGUGGGCCCGAGCUCCGAAAGGCCCCCUCGGCAGUGAGAGGGGCGGGAGCCCGCGGGGGCCGCGCCCUUCUCUCGCUUCGGACUGCGCAACGCUGCGCUCUGGGCUGACAGGCGGAUAAAACGGUCCCAUCAAGACUGAGAAAAAGCACACCAGCUAUUGGCACAGCGUGGGCAGUGGGGCCUACAGGAUGACUGACUUAGUCUACAGAGAUCCCGGCGUACUUAAGCAGGUAGUAAUGAUGGACAGGUGAGGCUUUAGGCGGCCGCCCUGGGAUCUGAAUUGCCCCUUGGCCCUUAUCGAAGCUGCAGCUGCUUCCGCAUAGCUGCUGUGGUCAAAAAGGAGCCCAGAGUGACAGUUUUCCUUGACGGUCGCCGUUCUGUUUGUUGUAACUGAUCUGCAACAUUUUGGGAAAAUACAGUUCCAUUGUACCUGCCACCUUUCAGCUGUAGCCAGAGACCUUUAUCAAAAUGGGCUUGUUUCCACAGAACAGCAGAACGGUUGGGGGUUUGCAUGUACAGUUAACCAGCAUAAGACUCGUACUGGGAAAAUCCAGCUGGGAUGUGACACAGCUUAACUGAUAGCUUAAGGCAUCAGUAUUGGGACCAAAGGCUGGUCAGAUUUGUAUCAUUCUGAGGACCAAAUGAUGGGAACAAUAAAAUUGUUCAUGACAGUUGUUCUCAUUUUGCUGUCCAGAUGAAGACUCUUAAGAUGACAGAAGGUGAUUUUUCUGGUGAUCGAGGACUUCCGGGGUAAUGACAGUGAUGAAAUGCAGGGGACCUGGUAGGUUUCUUUUGGAGACUAACUGGGGGCUGCCUGGUGGGACAGAACAGCAUGUUUCCAAGGGCUGUGGCUGGUCAUAGCCAUGGGAUCUCCAACUGCAUGCAAGAGCAACCUGGAAAGACUUUGACAGCGCAGGUUGGCUAGAUGGGUCUCGAACUUCUGACCUCGGGUGAUCCGCCCGACUCGGCCUCCCCUUCCAAAGUGCUGGGAUUACAGGCAUGAGCCACCGCUCCUGGCCAGUUUAGUUUUCACGCUAAGCUUUUUGUUCUGCAGGUUGCCCCCAAGUUUCCUGGCAGUGUGUGAUACUGAGGAGGUGAGCUUGUUUCUGGAGCUGUGCUUUAAGGUAAAGUUGAUCAGCUUAAUCCUCCUGAUCCCUUUCCCAUCGGAUCUGAACACUGGUCUUGGUGGUCGUAAAAGGAGGAAAAGUAAUAGUGAAGCUGGCCUAAAUGUUGUAAUCUGGUAUAUGGCAUGUGGGCUAGUUUCAGACAGGUUUCAGAGAUGGUUGGAUCUCUGAAAUUGUAAAAUGAAGUAUAAUCUUAGGCUAAGGGAAGGAUGCGUGUGAAGCUCUGGAGGUUGGUAUAGUAAUAGCUGACCUAUUACUGCAUUUGGGAGGGAUCUGUCAUAGCUUCCUUGCCUCUUAAUUAAGGGUGGUGUUUUUUUCUUUUAGAUUCAUGUUACAUGUAAAGCUGUCCUCAUUUGUGACUAUGGACCUAUGGAGUUGGGACAAUCUCUAUGGGAAGCAGAAGGCAAGGACCCCGGUCAUUUUAGGUAGAAACAACAGCAUGCUAAUGCAAAAAAUUAUGCAGUGUGCUACUGAACUUCAGAGGUGAUCAAUAAAAGAAGAAUAAAAAGACUAAUAAAAGUAUAUUUGUGUUUGUAUUUUUUUGUAGAGACCGAACUGGUCUCUU
rnacentral:lncRNA from 10 species